rnacentral:rRNA from 1 species
CCUACGGGUGGCUGCAGUGGGGAAUAUUGCACAAUGGGCGCAAGCCUGAUGCAGCCAUGCCGCGUGUGUGAAGAAGGCCUUCGGGUUGUAAAGCACUUUCAGCGGGGAGGAAGGCGUUAAGGUUAAUAACCUUGUCGAUUGACGUUACCCGCAGAAGAAGCACCGGCUAACUCCGUGCCAGCAGCCGCGGUAAUACGGAGGGUGCAAGCGUUAAUCGGAAUUACUGGGCGUAAAGCGCACGCAGGCGGUCUGUCAAGUCGGAUGUGAAAUCCCCGGGCUCAACCUGGGAACUGCAUUCGAAACUGGCAGGCUAGAGUCUUGUAGAGGGGGGUAGAAUUCCAGGUGUAGCGGUGAAAUGCGUAGAGAUCUGGAGGAAUACCGGUGGCGAAGGCGGCCCCCUGGACAAAGACUGACGCUCAGGUGCGAAGGCGUGGGGAGCAAACAGGAUUAGAUACCCUUGUAGUC